AAGUCCUAGUUGCUAUAAAUUCUUAAAUCAAAUUAUGUCAGAUUUUUAAUAAAAAGCAGCAUUUGUAUUUGAAAAUUGUUUAGGAACUAGGCAC
rnacentral:misc_RNA from 1 species